rnacentral:rRNA from 2 species
CAAGGAGUCGAACAUUUGUGCGAGUGUUUGGGUGUCAACCCUCACGCGUAAUGAAAGUGAACGGAGGUGAGAGCCCUCGCGGGUGCAUCAUCGACCGAUCCUGAUGUCUUCGGAUGGAUUUGAGUAAGAGCAUAACUGUUCGGACCCGAAAGAUAGUGAACUAUGCGUGGAUAGGGUGAAGCCAGAGGAAACUCUGGUGGAGGCUCGCAGCGGUUCUGACGUGCAAAUCGAUCGUCAAAUCUGCGCAUGGGGGCGAAAGACUAAUCGAACUAUCUAGUAGCUGGUUACCGCCGAAGUUUCCCUCAGGAUAGCAGUGUUGUCUUCAGUUUUAUGAGGUAAAGCGAAUGAUUAGGGACUCGGGGGCGCUAUAUUGCCUUCAUCCAUUCUCAAACUUUAAAUAUGUAAGAAGCCCUUGUUACUUAGUUGAACGUGGGCAUUCGAAUGUACCAACACUAGUGGGCCAUUUUUGGUAAGCAGAACUGGCGAUGCGGGAUGAACCGAACGCGGGGUUAAGGUGCCAGAGUGGACGCUCAUCAGACACCACAAAAGGUGUUAGUACAUCCUGACAGCAGGACUGUGGCCAUGGAAGUCGGAAUCAGCUAAGGACUGUGUAACAACUCACCUGCCGAAUGUACUAGCCCUGAAAAUGGAUGGCGCUCAAGCGUCUCACCCAUACCUCGCCCUUA